CGGUAAUUCCAGCUCCAAUAGCGUAUACUAAAGUUGUUGCAGUUAAAAAGCUCGUAGUUGGAUUUCUACGGGGACGGAGCGGCCGGACGCAACUUGCGUCUCGAGCUAGCGCUUUCCCCGCAUCCUGCCGCGAACCGUGCUACCAUUAGUUUGGUGGCGCUGGGGAUCGGCUCGAUUACUUUGAGAAAAAUAGAGUGUUCAAAGCAGGCCACACGCCUUGAAUAAGUUAGCAUGGAAUAAUGACUAAGGACUUCGGUUCUAUUUUGUUGGUGUUCGGGACUGAAGUAAUGAUUGAUAGGGACAGUUGGGGCGGUCUGUAUUCCAAAGCGAGAGGUGAAAUUCUUAGACCUUCGGAAGACAAACAGCUGCGAAAGCGUUCCGCAAGGAUGUUCCCUUUGAUCAAGAACGAAAGUUGGGGGAUCGAAGACGAUCAGAUACCGUCGUAGUCUCAACUAUAAACUAUACCAGCUAGGGAUCGGCCAACGUUUAAUUAUUCGACUUGGUCGGCACCUUAUGAGAAAUCAAAGCAUCUGGGUUCCGGGGGGAGUAUGGUCGCAAGGCUGAAACUUAAAGGAAUUGACGGAAGGGCACCACCAGCCGUGGAGCCUGUGGCUUAAUUUGACUCAACACGGGAAAACUUACCAGGUCCAGACAUAGGAAGGAUUGACAGAUUGAUAGCUCUUUCUUGAUUCUGUGGGUGGUGGUGCAUGGCCGUUUUUAGUUGGUGGAAUGAUUUGUCUGCUUAAUUGCGUUAACGAACGAGACCCCAGCCUGCUAAAUAGCGCGGCCGAGCUUUGCUCGGUGCGAGCUUCUUAGAGGGACCAUGAUGCGCGAUAGCACAAGGAAGUUUGGGGCAACAACAGGUCUGUGAUGCCCUUAGAUGUUCUGGGCCGCACACGGGCUACACUGGCGCCUGCAACGAGCAUAUCAGCUGGCCCGAGAGGGUCUUGGCUAAUCUUUUGAACCGGCGCCGUGCUUGGGAUUGACCUUUGCAAUUGUUGGUCAUGCAACGAGGAAUGCCUUGUAAACGCGAGUCAUCAGCUCGCAUUGAAUACGUCCCUGCCCUUUGUACACACCGCCCGUCGCUCCUACCGAUGAAUGUUCCGAUGAAAUUUUCGGAGAGCGCCAGAGAACGGGGCUCUGCCUUGCAGAUCUGGAGGCUCAAAGUCACUUAAAUCUGAACAUUUCGAGGAAGGAGAAGUCGUAACAAGGUAGCCG
rnacentral:rRNA from 1 species